GACAGAGGGGGCGAGCGUUGUCCGGAGUGACUGGGCGUACAGCGCGCGCAGGCGGACCCGAACGUGCUAUGUAACAGCCCUGCGCUCACCGCAGGGUGGCCACGGUAGACGGACGGGUCUGGAGGCAGGGAGGAGGGAUGUGGAAUACCCGGUGGAGCGGUGAAAUGCUUAGAUAUGACAUAGAACACCAAUUGCGAAGGCAGCUGGCUACACGAGCAUUGACACUCAGGCACGAAAGCGUGGGGAUCAAACAGG
rnacentral:rRNA from 1 species